rnacentral:rRNA from 1 species
GAGUUUGAUCCUGGCUCAGGAUGAACGCUGGCGGCGUGCUUAACACAUGCAAGUCGAGCGAAGCAUAGAUGUGGAAGUUUUCGGAUGGAAGCGUGUAUGACUGAGCGGCGGACGGGUGAGUAACGCGUGGGUAACCUGCCUCAUACAGGGGGAUAACAGUUAGAAAUGACUGCUAAUACCGCAUAAGCGCACAGGACCGCAUGGUCCGGUGUGAAAAACUCCGGUGGUAUGAGAUGGACCCGCGUCUGAUUAGCUGGUUGGUGAGGUAACGGCCCACCAAGGCGACGAUCAGUAGCCGACCUGAGAGGGUGGCCGGCCACAUUGGGACUGAGACACGGCCCAAACUCCUACGGGAGGCAGCAGUGGGGAAUAUUGCACAAUGGGGGAAACCCUGAUGCAGCAACGCCGCGUGAGUGAAGAAGUAUUUCGGUAUGUAAAGCUCAUCAGCAGGGAAGAGAA